rnacentral:lncRNA from 1 species
CACACGUGUGCUCUUCCGCAAGCUGCUGCACUACUUGCGGAGCCACACGAACGUGCGGAAGCCCCGGCUCCGUAGCCUUGGCUUCACUGUCAAGAUAAGUUGUCGCCGAGUAUAGUAUCCAGCACUGGAUUAGUGUCGUCUGCAACACUUCUCUAGAAUGUGUCACUCUUAUU